AUUGAACGCUGGCGGCAUGCCUUACACAUGCAGGUCGAACGGUAACAGGUCUUCGGAUGCUGACGAGUGGCGAACGGGUGAGUAAUACAUCGGAACGUGCCCGAGAGUGGGGGAUAACGAAGCGAAAGCUUUGCUAAUACCGCAUACGAUCUCAGGAUGAAAGCAGGGGACCGCAAGGCCUUGCGCUCACGGAGCGGCCGAUGGCAGAUUAGGUAGUUGGUGGGAUAAAAGCUUACCAAGCCGGCGAUCUGUAGCUGGUCUGAGAGGACGACCAGCCACACUGGGACUGAGACACGGCCCAGACUCCUACGGGAGGCAGCAGUGGGGAAUUUUGGACAAUGGGCGCAAGCCUGAUCCAGCCAUGCCGCGUGCAGGAUGAAGGCCUUCGGGUUGUAAACUGCUUUUGUACGGAACGAAAAGACUCCUUCUAAUAAAGGGGGUCCAUGACGGUACCGUAAGAAUAAGCACCGGCUAACUACGUGCCAGCCGCCGCAGUAAAAC
rnacentral:rRNA from 1 species